AUAGUCAAGAUCAAGACGAAAGGCGAAGAUGAAACUUGGAUUGAGAUGGUGCUGGGCUCCGCUCGACGUCAAAAGAAGGAAAACCUGCAAAACAAAUUCCGUCGGAGGUGGCUCCGACGAAGAUCCUCUGAUACUCAAGUCAGUGUAUGCUUUAAGAGAAAGGAGAGGCAGAGUCUCUGAGUUCUAAGAUGGCUUAUUUAUGCAUAUCUAGAGGGGUCCCCGCUUACCUCUAUCUAUAGAGAGCAAAAUUAAUGAUGAGAGAAUAGAUGAUCAUGUCGAUCAUGUCCUGUUGUACGACAUGGCAUGGUGCCACGUGGGCAUCCUUAAAUGCCGGUGGCGAGUGUGCUCUUUAUUCGACGUGCACAUAUGGCAGACGCUGCAAGACGUGAGGCAUAAUAAAUGACCUUUGGGGCGCAUUUAAUGAGAUCGUAUUAUCCCAUCAUGGUGCGUAGCUAACUGAUCAAAAUAUAAUGUCUGAGUGACAUGAUCUUGAUGUGGCCUCUCCAAGUCAUAUGAUGAUCAUAUUUAAUUUGCAGUUAGUCGGUAGAGAUCCAUGUUGCCUGAGUCGGCAGAAUGAAAUUACUGAGAUGCUGUAUCUUUAUUUGGCGUAGUCAGUUGUUAACCGAUCAUUAAGUCGAUUGUAGGUCGAGCAGCUGUCGGAGGCACAUUAACUCUAGUCGGGAUAGUGCCGACCAGGGGCAUCUAUCUUUCAGUCGGCUGGAUGUCAGCAAUGGCAUCCAAUGUCUAUCCGGUUGGGAGAGAACUUUAUAUAAUCGAGUCGGAUUGAUUGUUGGUUAGUCGGUAUAGUUUUUUUAGUCGGCUCAUGGACGAGAAGAUAGGUAGUCGGCUAAGUGACGGGAAUCUAUCCCAAUACUUGCCCCCCCAACUCUCAAAUCUGACUUAGCAAUUAGUCGGGUGAGAGGAGCUCGUCCUCGAUCAAUUAUGAGUCACUUUAGCCAACUGUAACUCGGCCAUUGCUUCGUGUGGUGAACCGUCGUCAUGUCUUUUCAUGUAGUGGUACUGUUCUUUUGCAAGUCGUGCGGCAAUAAAUGCACAGAGCUCGAACUUCCAUAUAAAUGACAAGAGAUUAGCUGGCAGGGUAAUAAUGAGUACAUGUACCCGAGUCGUCUGCAUGUCAGUCACUUGUUGGCCCAAUCUAUGAUCACAUGGGUGAGCCUACUCAGCAAGAUCUGAACAGUGGUGCACUGAACAGAUGCUGGAAGGACCGACCGAGAUUGCCACCACAUAUCAUCAUCUCCAAGCUAGGCGUGGUACUCGACGUCGAUCCUGACUGUUGAGGGAACUUAUAUAUAGGGGUUGAUCUCCCUUCAUUUUUGGCUUCACCUUUUUUUUGCUCCAUUUCGAGUACACGCCAUCCCUUUUCUCUGUCGAGGGUCUUGCUGCCGGCGAGUCUUCUUCUUCGGCAUCGGUCUUUUGUCAUCUCCUUUCAUUUCUGGCUUCACCUUUUUUUUGCUCCAUUUCGAGUACACGCCGUCCCUUUUCUCUACCGAGGGACUUGCUACCGGCGAGUCUUUUUCUUCGGCAUCGAUCUUUUGUCAGCGUCAGACCCUGUCGUCGGUUCUCUCACUUUCUUAUAGGUUUUCUUCCUUGGUCCUCCUUCUCCUUCAUCUUUUCUUUUUCUAUCUUUUCAAUGUCUUCUUCUGGUAGAGAGUCCAGAGAUGAGACUCCGAUCGAUGAUCGGAGAUCUCGGGCUCCGACAACCCAAAGGGCGAUCGAGGAGAUUACUCAAGAUAAGCUCGAUGUGGCAUUUUCUUGAGAGGAUGAGUCAGACUCGAGUGAGUCAGAUGAACAGUCAGCUCUCGAGAAUACUUUUGGACCUCUCAUGGAGAGGUCCGACCUGAUUGAGUCGGUAGUCGUCCGACUAGGGGGAUAUUAUUACAUCCCUAGUCGGUAUCGAUUGAUGAUGCCUGACGAAGAAGGUUGGAUCGUUCAUCCUCCUGAUGGCUAUAUUGUCAUUUAUGAGGAGUUUCUUCGAUCGGGACUCCGAUUCUCUCUUCAACCCUUUUGUUGCCAAUAUCUUCAACUUGUAUGAGAUCAUUCCUGCUUAACUCACCCCCAAUUCCAUUCAUAUUCUUUCUUAUUCUGUUGUCCUUUGUCAUCGCCUCUGCAUCAAAUCCCGAGUCUCUUUAUUUCGGGCCAUCUUUAUUCUGAAGAAACAUCCCUAAGAAUGGGGCUGGUGGUUCUUUUAUCCUCAACCUCGACAAUAAAUCUUUAAGAAACUCCCUUCUUCUAUCCAUGGGUGGAAGGGUAAAUUUUUCUAUAUUGCCGCUGACCAUCCAUGGAGCUUUGAUUGGACCUGGACCAUCCCAAACCUUUCCCCGAAUAGAAAUGACACUAUCCUGAAUGAGGUUCGGGAGGUGCACGAGAAGCUUUUUGAAGUUCAGGUCCCCACGCAUCAGGAGCUGCUCUAGGAGCAGUCCCUCUAUGAUGUCGGGAUUAGUCUGACUAGCCAUCUUGGUAGUUUUUGUGUUUUUUAUUUUAUUUGAUGGCUAACUGUCUUCUCCUUUUCACUGUAUUCAUGUAGGUAUGUGGGUCACAGUAGGAUCGCUGAAGGAGGCGGUCCGAAAGAAAAAGAAUAAGGCAACAUCUGGGCUUAGAGGCCCAUCUCAACCAUCGAAGAAGCUGAGGGAGAAGUCUCUAGUUUGGGUGCUGAGAAGCAUGUAGCCGCCGUCACCACCCCAAGUACCGAUGGUGCACUCAUCUUUGCCACCCUCUGUCGAGGCCGUGAUAGUCACAGCCUCUCCCUUGAUCGAGGAUGAUGUAGUGGUCAUCGAAGCUCCAAUGAAGAAGGCUGAAGUAGUUCAAGCUCUUCCGAUCCCAGUUGGGUCCGGAGGGAGUCAGGCAGCUAGUCGAAAAGCUGCCGACAAGGGUAAGGCAUAGAUCUCCCCCCGCUUUACCAUGAACUAUGAUCUGGAUCUGCCUUCUGGGGAGCCAACUAUAGCGAUCAGGAUGCGCUUUAAUGCCACCGAUCAGGCACUUCGAGACAGCCAACAUGUUAGAGAGUUGGCGAAGAUGAUGAUGCUUCCCACAGAUUGGGAAGUCAGAAAAGCAUGCCCGAUCUUGAAGAUUCAGUCGGACGCCUACAUGUCAUUGAUUGGGGUAAGUACUCAGACUUCUUUUAUUCAAUCUCUUUCUUUCUUAGCCUAGUAGGUGACUUAGCUUCUUUUUUGUCUUUUUUUUGUAUUAUAGAUGAUCCAUGACAUUACAGUUCUGUCAGAAGGAUUAAUCAAGUCCAUCCAAAUCAACCACAAGUUGGAGGACUAGGCCCAGACUACUCGUGCAUGGGACAAAGUCUCCGACGAGCUCCUCCAAGCUACCGAGGAGCGGGAAAGAAAGAGCAGAGAGAAGAUCUCUCUGCUAGAGGCCGAGUUGGCCAAUCUGAUGGCCUAGCAGGGAAGCAACAAAUAAGAAUUUGAGAAGCUGUAAGCCGAUUAUCAAGUGGAGAUGGAGUUGGCUGAGAGCGCCCUCAUCGAGGAGAAGGAGAAGGUACUGAAGGCAGAGAAGACUAUCGAGGAGGCCAAGAAUGCCACCAAGAAAGCCAAAAAGAUUGCUGUCGAACUCCAAGAAAAAUUGACAUCGAUAGAAACUCGAGCCCAAAAAGCUGCUUCUCAAGUAGUGGUCGAGUUUCGUGAGUCGAAAGAAUAUGAAGAUGAGCUUGCUGAUGUUGGGACGGAUGUGUUUCAACUUAGCUUCCAGGAGUGCAAGAAGCAAGUUCACCACCUCAUGCCCAAGGUGGACUUGAGCUACCUCCAGCUCGACAAGGAAUCAGACGAGUCGGGCGACGAGGAUGUAGAAGCCGAAGAGGAUCACCCCCAUCCGAGUUCCUGAACAUCUUUUGUACUCUUUUUUUUGUAUUUGUAAUAAACUUUUUGGAAAUGAAAUAAAAAUUUUCUUCAUAAGUUGUCCAACUUUUUUUUGUCAGCAUGCACUUCUCUUAAUUUUUAUUUUCUGGACAGACUUUCCACUAAUUUGACUAAGUAGCUAAGUCACUAGAAUGAUCCAUAAGAAGUAGCUAGCCGAGUAGGAUGUAACCUUCUCAUAAAAUUGAUCAAGUUAUGAAGUUGGUAGAAUAAUUCAUAAGAAGUAGCUAGCUGAGUAGGCUGUAGCCUUCCCACAAAAUUGAUCAAAUAACAAAGUCGGUUGAAUAAUUCUUAGGAAGUAGCUAGCCGAGUAGGCUGUAACCUUCCCACAAAAUUGAUCAAGUUACAAAGUCGGUAGAUCUUUGGCUAGUCGGUAUUGAGCCGACUUAGUGCAAUUUAUUUUCGUCGGAUCAUAUGACAAAUUGUACCUCUUAUGCUUGCAACCCUUGGGCUAUUGCGAGUAUGGUGGUAGUUGUCGGACUGCAUGGCUCCAGUAAUCGAGUUUUAGCCAAUUAAUGCAAUGAUUUUGCUUGGGUCUCAUAUUCAAUCUGGUGUCAUAGCUCUUGGCAGGCAUGCUUGUGAUUGAAAGACCCACCCAUUGUUAAGAAUGGGUCCACUCCCGACUUCGUUAGUAGGGUAUGAGCCGACUAGCGCUUCGUCGGGUAUAAUCCGAUGAGGGAGUGGUUGUAAUGCAGUUUGUUGAGAACUUGAGCACAUGACUUGUAAGAAGAAAGACCUUUUUAUUUGAUGAAGGUAUUCUUAUUAAUAAUACAUUCAUAGGUUUUUGAUGUUCCAAGUUCGAGGAAUCUCGAUGCCAUCGAGAUUUUCAAUUUUGUAUGCCCCUGAUCGUAGGAUUGCCGAGACUUUGUAGGGACUCUCCUAAUUUUGAGAUAAUUUUUUCUACUCAGUGGGCUUGAAAAUUUUCACUCUUCUCAGGACUAAGUCUUCUAUUCGGAAGAUCUUUGGCUUGACUCGGGAGUUGUAAUAUCUCGCUACUCUUUGUUGAUAGAAGAUUAUUCUUAGUCGAGCUUUUUUUUGAAUUUCUUCAAGUAAAUCCAAGUCUGCUUGUCUCUUGUUCGAGUUGGUAGAUUCGUCAUAGUACUCCACUCAAGUUGAAAAUAGGCCGAUUUCAACUGGAAUCAUGACUUUGAUUUCAAAUGCCAAUUUGAAUGGAGUUUCUCUGAUUGAGAUCGGAGGAGUUGUUUUAUAAGACCAUAGGACACUGUGAAGCUCGUCGACCCAACUUUCUUUAGCUUGAUCGAUUCUGGUUUUUAGGCCUUGGAGAAUCGUCCUGUUGGUCACCUCAGCUUCUCCAUUGGAUUAGGAAUGUCCCACCAAAGUGAGCUUAUGAUAAUAUGAUAUUUCACAUAGAAUUCUUUGAGUCUAGCAUUGUUGAAUUGUCGACUGUUAUCGAUGAUGAUUAUCCGGGGCAGACCAAAUCGAUAGAUGAUGGAUUUCUAAAGAAAGCUGGUAGUCUUUUGUUCUGUUAUCUGUGCCAAUAGUUCAACUUUUAUCCACUUAGUAAAGUAGUCAAUGGCCAUAAUGAGAAAUUUUAUUUAUCCACUGGCAAGUGAAAAUAGAUCGAGUAGGUCCACACCCCAUUGAUAAAAUGGCUAGGAUGCCAAGAUGGCCGUAAGAUGGCUAGAUAGGAGCCUUUGAAUAUUGACGAACCUUUGACAUUGGUCGCACUUCUGUACCAAAUCAUAUGUAUCUUUCUGCAUGGUUGGCCAGUAAUAUCCUUAUCAGAGAAUUUUGUAGGACAGCAACUUGCCCCCCAAAUGACUGCUACAAAUACCUUCGUGCACCUCCCGAAGGGUGUAGUCGGCCUCGAAAAGUCGGAAACACUUGAGUAGGGGUAGAGAUGCUAACUUUUUGUAAAGUUAAUUAUCAAUGAUCACGUAUCGAGUUACCAACCUUUUUACUUGGCGUGCCUCGAUAGGAUCAAUCGGCAAGGCCCCGCCAGGCAAGAAAUUGAUGAACAGGUCAAUCCAACUCAGCUCUUGCCCAACUUCAAUCUGGUGGAUCUCUUCGUCUGAGUCAAUGCCUGGGCUCUCGAGAUGCUUAAUGAAUAUUUUCCAAGAUCUACGCAAUCAGAGGUGGCAAGACAGGAUAGAGAGUUGGCUCGGGCAUUCUCAGAGUGAGGAAUAUGAGAAUUUUCAAAAUAAUUGAAAUACGAUUGUAGAGACUUAAGCUUUUGUAAACAUCUAGAGAGAAUAAGAUCUCGAGCUGUAUAUUCUCUUCAGGAUUGUCUGAUGAUGAGUUACGAAUCGGUGAAUACCCAUAGGUGCUUGACAUCGAGAUCUUGAGCAAUCUUGAGUCGGACUAUUAAGGUCUCAUACUCUGCUUGGUUAUUUGAAGCCUUAACAAUGAAUCAAAGAGCAUACUCAGUCACCAUUCUAUCAAUAUUGGUUAAGAUCAGGCCCGCACUGCACCCUUGAGCAUUUGAAACUCCAUCAACAUGCAAAAUCUAGGCGGACUCUUGAGUGCUCUCUGUGGAGUUGCCUUCAACUUGAUCAUUGUUUGUCAGAGUAUAUUCAAUGAUGAAGUCGGCAAGAAUCUGAUAUUUCAUUGACAUUCUUGGGACAAAAGAAAAGUCAAACUCGGUGAGCUCGACCGUCCACUUUGCUAUUCUCUCCGAGGUAUCCGAUCUAUGAAGUAUAGGCCUUACGAAGAGAUCAAUAAGGAUUUUUACCGAAUGGGCCUGAAAGUAGGGCCAUAACUGCCAAAUAGUAGUCACAAUCGUAAAGACGACCUUCUCAAUCCUUGAAUAUCUCAUUUCAGCAUCAUGCAGCACCCGGCUUAUAUAGUAGAUGGACUUUGCACUUUGUCUUCUUCUCAAACCAGCAUCGAGCUGAUGGCUUCAAAAGUGGUCGCCAUGUACAUGAGUAACUCAUCACAGAUGCUGGGCUUUGCCAAAAGUGAAGGAGAGCUAAGGUAUUGCUUCAAUUCGUCAAAGGACUUUUGACACUCCUCCAUCCAGGUGAAAUCUUUUAUUUGUCUGAGGGUUCUAAAGAAAGGGAGGAAUCGUUCUGCAGACCUGGAGAUAAAUCGACUUAAGGAUGUAAUUCAACCUGCCAAUCUCUGAAUGUCCGUUCGAGAAUUAGGAGGUUGUAUGUCAAGAACCAUCUUGAUCUUCUCGGGAUUAGCCUCGAUGCCUCUUUUUGUCACUAUAAAAUUAAGAAACUUUUUCGAUAUGACACCAAAAAUGCACUUAGUCGGAUUUAGCUUCAUCCGAUGCUUUCUUAGGGCAUCGAAAGCCUCGGUUAGAUCGCUGAUGUGGAGGGUAGCUUUGGUAUUUUUCAUGAGUAUAUCAUCGAUGUAAAUCUCCAUAUUAUGCUCGAUUUAGAUUUUAAAGACUUUAUUGACUAGUCUCUGAUUUGUUUUUCUGGCGUUCUUGAUGCCAAAGGGCAUAACUUUGUAGUAGUAUAAACCUUUCAUAGUAAUAAACACCAUUUUCUCCUCAUCCUCGAAUUCCAUCUGAAUCUGAUUGAAGCUGGAGAAGGCAUCCAUAAAGUUGAGUAGAUGAUGUUCGACUGUCGCAUCAACUAGCUGAUCUAUUCAAGGGAGAGAAAAGUUGUCCUUGGGACAAGCUUUGUUCAAGUUGGUGUAGUCGAUGCAGCUGCACCAUUUGCUUUCUUGAUCAUAACCACAUUUGCGAGCCAAUCUGGGUAGGUUGCCUCGUGGAUGAAAUCGAUUGCCAACAGCUUGUCAACCUCUUCAUUGAGGGCCAUCUGUCAUUCUGGAGUAAAGCUUCUCUUCUUUUGUCUCAGUGGUUUGUGGUUAGGAUCAAUGCUUAGUCAGUGGACAAUAACUUUUGAAGGGAUGCUCAACCUGUCAGAGACAAACCAGACAAAGAUGUUGGUAUUUUUUCUCAGAAAAUUGAUUAACUUCUCUUACAAUUCCCUUCUUAACAAGGAUCCGAUUUGAAUAGUUUUAGUCGGAUCUCCACUGAGUAAAGAAAUUGAGAUGAGCUAUUCUAUAGGUUCUUUUCAUCUUUCAAUUUCUCUCUGAUCCAGCCCAUCAUCAAUGAGAAGAGUUUCAGCUAGCUUUUCUCCAUUGAUGGAGGUUAAAUAGCAUUAUCGGGCUAAUUAUUGGUCUCCUUGCAUCUCAUCGGGUCCAUUCCUUGUCAAAAAGCAUAUGAGCAGGUGAUAGGUUGAGAUGACUACUCGAAACGCAUUCAAUUCAGGCUGCCCCAAGAUGAUGUUGUAGGCAAACGGGAUCCAGACUAUAAGAAAGUUGAGGUGAACGGUUGAUUGCCGAGGUGGUUGCCUGGUCGUGAUGGAAAGUUUGAUCUCAUCCUCCACUUUGAUCGAGUCACCUGUAAAUCUGACUAGAGGAAUAUUAACGGGUCUGAGAAGUUUAGCAAAAAGCCAUUGCAUGUGAAAGAAACAAUCAUAGAAAUCACAUCCACGGAACUUUCAUUAUCAACAAGAUAUCUUUUUACAUCAUAAUUGGCAACUAUUAUUGACACGACUAUAGCAUCAUUGUGAGGAGUUUGGACUCCUCACAGAUCUGCUUCAGUAAAGAUGAUGUCAUUGUCGGCAUGCUGGCACUUGAAAGUGCUUCCACGGUCAUCUGCCCCCAGGGUCACGGGCCCACCGAGAUCAUAUUGAUCACAUCAGUCGUUGGUUGGAUGUGAGUCUGCUCUUCAGGUUUCGAAUAAGGUAGAUCGAAAGAUAGCUGUGCAGGACACUCCUGCACAUACUUGCCAAGAUAUCCCCACUUUAUCAGGUUCUCGAUCUCAUUCUUCAGCUGGUGGCACUCCUCCAUGUCAUGUCCAUAGUCGCGAUGGAAGCGGCUGUAGCACUUCCGAUCAUGAGAUUUUGUUGUCAUUGGCAGGGAUCGAUGAAGAAAGCUUUCUCUUUCUAUCUCCAUCAAAAUCUAUAAUUGAGAAGCAGUCAGAGGAGUGUAGGAGUCAUAUCUGCCCAUGAAGUUUGUGGGCUUCUGGCUUAGUCGGAGAGGUGGAGCCUCAUUUUUAGCUCGGAUUUGACUAGGCUCCUCGAAGCCUCCUCCCUUCCUUGCCUUCUUCUUCUAGCUUUUUUCCUCGAACUGGUGGUAGUUAGUUAUGGCUUUUUCGAUGCGGAUGUAUUUCUGUGCAUAUUCGAGGAGCUCGACCUAGGAUCGAGGAAGCAUCUUAUCCAAAGAGUAGGUGAACUUAGAGUUUCAGAGUUCUCGCUUCAUUGCUGCAAUGGUCGUUGCCUCAUCAAGGUCCUUGACCUCCAGGGUGGCGGUGUUGAAAUGUGUCACAAUUCUCACAAAGAUUCUCCAUUCUAUUGGCGAACAGAGAAAAGACUGUCAGUAGUUCUGGGCACUCUUUGGUUUGUGCCAAAGUGCACCACGAACAACUGCUCAAACUAUUUGAAAGAAUCGAUGCUUUCCAAUUGUAGCCCCGAGUACCAUGCCCGUAUGGUUUUCUGGAGUGUAAUCGGGAAAGAAAUACAGAGGAGGGUGUCAACUGCCCUUUGUAGAAGUAUGAGGGCUUUAUAGCUCUCAAGAUGAUCAAAUGGAUCCAUGGUGCCGUCGUAUGGCUCGAUUUGCAGCAUUUUGAACCGACUAAGAAUCGACUCGUCAAGGAUCCAUCUUGAGAAAGGUAGAUUCGUACUGACAUUGAAUUCAUUAAUUGGAUCACGAUGAUUAGUUUGGAGCUAUUCCAGAUGGCGAUCUAUCUCCUUCAAUUUUCGAUCGUAUUCGUCCAGCCAUUGUUGCAACAUAUCUGGAUGCCGCAAAUAGCCUGGAAUAGAACCUUCCUCAGAAAAAGAAGAUCCCAAGGGCAACUGCGGCCUCUUCCCCUUGUAAUGAGUUCAUCGAGGAGAAUGUGGGGACUGACGAUCAUUGGAGUCAGCACGCGAAGCACAAUGCGACUUCGAAUGUGGCGGCUGUUGGGCAAGCGAAGAACUCCCUCGAUGGGAAUGGUGCAUAGAAUGGCGGGUUAGAGAUCAUGGUUGGUGGCUGCAUCUAGAAGGUGCAUCAUGCGCUACGACCUCUCCCAGUUGUUAUUGUUGUUGGAGACCUUGGAUGGCCUCGGUCAGACUUUUCAUCUGCUGCACGAGGGUAGAAAACCCAGGAUCUACCAUCAUCGAUGGUCGUGAAGUACUUGGCUCUCUAAGGAUUGUCGGAGGUGCAUCACGUCGUGAUGAGUAUCGAACCAAACCAGCAGAGACAUUCUGCACCCUUGUCUUGGCCAUGGAGGUUCUUGGAGAGAGUUUUACCCAAUAGACCCCCUCUACCUGGCGUGCCAAACUGUUGCGGUCCUACUCCGAUAGGUAGUCGGUAGUAAGUAGUCGAGUAGAAGCUGACUAGGAGUUCCACCUGUCAAUUGGUGGUGGGACUUCUGAUGAGUGAGGUACCAUCACCGGAGAAGGUGCACCAAUCAAGGUCAAGACGAAGGGCAAGGAUGGAACUUGGAUUGAGAUGGUGCUGGGCUUUGCUCGACGCCAAAAGAAGAAAGAUCUGUAAAACAAGUCCCACUGAAGAUGGCUCCGACAAAGUUCCUCCGAUGCUCAAGUCAGUGUAUGCUUUAAGAAGAAGGAGAGGUAGAGUCUCUAGGUUCUAAGAUGACUUGUUUAUGCAUACCU
rnacentral:lncRNA from 1 species